GAUGAACGCUGGCGGCGUGCCUAAUACAUGCAAGUCGAGCGAACAGACGAGGAGCUUGCUCCUCUGACGUUAGCGGCGGACGGGUGAGUAACACGUGGAUAACCUACCUAUAAGACUGGGAUAACUUCGGGAAACCGGAGCUAAUACCGGAUAAUAUAUUGAACCGCAUGGUUCAAUAGUGAAAGACGGUUUUGCUGUCACUUAUAGAUGGAUCCUCGCCGCAUUAGCUAGUUGGUAAGGUAACGGCUUACCAAGGCAACGAUGCGUAGCCGACCUGAGAGGGUGAUCGGCCACACUGGAACUGAGACACGGUCCAGACUCCUACGGGAGGCAGCAGUAGGGAAUCUGCCGCAAUGGGCGAAAGCUUGACGGAGCAACGCCGCGUGAGUGAUGAAGGUCUUCGGAUCGUAAAACUCUGUUAUUAGGGAAGAACAAAUGUGUAAGUAACUAUGCACGUCUUGACGGUACCUAAUCAGAAAGCCACGGCUAACUACG
rnacentral:rRNA from 1 species